rnacentral:rRNA from 1 species
CCUUCGGGUGGCUGCAGUGAGGAAUAUUGGUCAAUGGACGCAAGUCUGAACCAGCCAUGCCGCGUGCAGGAAGACGGCUCUAUGAGUUGUAAACUGCAUUUGUACGAGGGUAAACGCAGAUACGCGUAUCUGUCUGCAAGUAUUGUAUGCAUAAGGAUCGGCUAACUCCGUGCCAGCAGCCGCGGUAAUACGGAGGGUGCAAGCGUUAUCCGGAGUUAUUGGGUUUAAAGGGUGCGUAGGCGGUCGGAUAAGUUAGAGGUGAAAUCCCGAGGCUCAACUUCGGAAUUGUCUCUGAUACUGUUCGGCUAGAGAGUAGUAGAGGUAAGCGGAAU